rnacentral:pre_miRNA from 1 species
AGAAAUUUUUCAUCCCAGUUAAUUUUAUUUUUGAAUUAAAUCACUGGGAGGAAAGUUUCUAU